GACACAAUAUUUCAAAUAACAGCAGGAAGCAAUCUGCUACAUCAUAUAACAUACAUAAAAAUGUGAUCAGCAUCAAGUUUACAAUUAGAUAACACACAUACAGCCCAAGUGUAUCAGCCCAAGUCUAUCACAGGAGCCCUACAAGUUCUGCUACAUCAUAUAACACACAAAUAGGAUCAGCUCCUAGAACUAGCACACGCUACAAGUUCGGCUACAAGGAGUUCGUUACUCCCAGAACUAGCUCAAUGAGGUAAAACUAUGCUUCAUCCAACUUCUUUGUCCUGAAUGAAAUGCCAGCAUCUGCACAUUGUAGAACAAGAUGUUUAGGGACAAAAUAAAAGUAAAUCGAACAGCAAAGUAUCAAAAAAACCAAAGUAUUAAAAACUGCAGUAAUUUACUCGUAGUUGGCAGGUACACAAUACCAUGGUUUUAAUAUAAAAUACAGAGCAAGUGUUUGGCUACAACAUAGAAUGCUGUAAAAUUUGUUUUAGAAUCCAGGCAUGUCAAAUUUUAAGCACCAGCAGAAUAGAUCUAACAAACCAGACCAUGAUCAUCAUGCGCAUCAGGAUUUAUGGUUCUAGCAAAGCAAUAAAGAGAUGGACAUACACGCAUCAAGCAUACCAGCUACUACAUCACCAUUCUCGUGACCACAAACAUCACCAUUCACUAAUAAUUCCCAUUGGGAGAUCAAACUAUGCAUCCAACAAGCUACAGCAACAGGGAAUGCAGAAAAAUUUAUGACCCGAGAUGACGAAUCAACUGGGUACAUCUCAGUUUGAACAACCACGACGAGACAACAACCGCAUACUAAUGUGGCGAAUCAAAUCUGCACGCAGGAGCAGCGCCGUUCGUGGCAUCCACAUGAGGUCGCGCAACAUCAAGAACAUGGCGCAUGACAGCAACAGACCUAGAGAUCUAGGACGGAGGGAGGGGGGAGCUUACACUUGCGAAUGCGACCGGGUAGAGGUGGAAGCUGCGGCGGCCGCAACGGAUGCAGAAUUGAAGAGGGUCCUCAUGUAGCAGUAGCAGCAGCAGCAUGAAGAAUUGAAGACCGACCAACAGAGCCUGCAAUGCAAACAGAGAGGCAUGAGGAAACUGAAUCCAAUCACAUCAAAUCAAAUCGAGCUGCUGCACCUUGACCUUGAGGAAAACAAACCUCAUCUCAUGUCAUCUCAAGGAAGAAUAAGAAGAAAAAUAUAUGGCUGCUGCUCCAUCACCAUGACCUUGAAUUGUUGCUGCUGCACCAGAUCGAGGAAGAAGAAGACCUGCAAAAAAAUCAAUAACUAGCAAUGUACAAGCAUGAAUUCAUGGAAGGACGGAUGCAAGGCCAAACAUCCAGCAUACUGUUUCUUAAUGCGCCAACUACUUAAAAAACCAUGGUAGUUCUAACCAUAUUAAAUUAAAUUAAAUUAAAGGACAAAGUGAAGUCGUGAUGAAUUGAUAGUUCCAUCUUAUAAAGCUUUCUGUUUAGCAUAUCCUAAAUCAUAGUCUAUCUACCAAUAUAUGAAUUCUUUAGUUUUCAGAACCGAGGCUCACAUAUUUGUGCUGAUUUGUACACAGCCAAGAAAAACUUCUUACAAAUAAAUUCAUGGAAGCAUAUCAUCCUUUCAGUCCCUCACCCAUCUCCUAGUAGUAUUACAGACAAACUAAAUUUUACAUAGGGAGGUUUAGAUUAUCUUCACUGUAUUUUUAGUAUUUUUUUUACUUGAGACAAACUAAAUGCUAACAUCAAUGACAACAAGACUUGAACAGAAAUAGCUAUUGAAGAAACACGUUUAUAAGAUAGAAUGAAAAUGAUUUACACCACAACAUAUAGUUCACAUGUACUGGAGCUAGAGACUACAGAACACACAUAAUCACACAUAUGCGAACAGGGUACUACUCAAUGGUUCAGGUUACACUAUUAAACAAAAUUAUACAAGCGACUAGACUAGUAUCACAGAUCUACAGAGUAGUACUAAACAGCUAAAAAUAAGUAGUAGAAGUAACUAGUACAUGGAGCAAGUACUCUUAAAAUCUGAAUCUUACAGACUUAUACAACACCGGGAAAUUCAAAGAAGAAAGGGAGAAAGAGAGAUUGCAGGAGGAGGUCGAGGAUUAUGCAAAUUAACUUUGUCGAGACUUAUACAACAUGAAGACAAAUUCACAAGUUAUUUGCAUUUUUAUUGAGAACUAUGUAACACCAUUUACAUUACUUUCACAACAGAAACAAGAAACUUUGG
rnacentral:lncRNA from 1 species